rnacentral:lncRNA from 1 species
ACCAUGGAAGGCCACAACCACUUCAAUACAUUGUCAAUGCUGCCUUCCUGGCUACCCUGUACAGUGAUUAUCUUGAAGCUGCUGACACCCCUGGAUGGUAUUGUGGACCUAAUUUCUAUUCAACUGAAGUCCUGCGUGAAUUUGCCAAGACCCAGGUAUGCGAUAUCUGAUUCCUCAAUUAAAGUUGUGAGGGAACAUGAGUCUGCUCAUGUAGUAAUAAAUAUUGUUGGAACCAACAAGGUCACUUAAAUUUUUCAUAUCUCUGACCUUCUGGCAGAUUGAUUACAUCCUCGGCAAAAAUCCUCGAAAGAUGAGCUAUAUUGCAGGUUUUGGCAAUCAUUAUCCAAGACAUGUCCACCAUAGAGGUGCAUCUAUCCCUAAGAACAAAAUCAAAUAUAAUUGUAAAGGAGGAUGGAAAUGGAGAGACUCUUCGAAGCCAAAUCCAAAUACACUCGUAGGGGCCAUGGUUGCUGGGCCAGACAAGCAU